rnacentral:rRNA from 1 species
UGACCACGGGUUAAGGAGGGAUACCCGCUGAAAUUCCCCCCACAGGUACCCCGAGAGC